rnacentral:rRNA from 1 species
GGCGUAAAGCGCCUGUAGGUUGUUUAAUAAGUCUGUUGUUAAAGACUAGGGCUUAACCCUAGAAAAGCAAUGGAAACUACUAGACUAGAGUAUGGUAGGGGUAGAGGGAAUUUCUAGUGUAGCGGUGAAAUGCGUAGAUAUUAGAAAGAACACCGGUGGCGAAAGCGCUCUACUGGACCAUUACUGACACUCAGAGGCGAAAGCUAGGGUAGCAAAAGGGAUUAGAUACCCCUGUAGUCCUAGCCGUAAACGAUGGAUACUAGAUGUUGUGCAUUAAGGACAGUAUCGUAGCUAACGCGUUAAGUAUCCCGCCUGGGGAGUACGAUCGCAAGGGUGAAACUCAAAGGAAUUGACGGGGGCCCGCACAAGCGGUGGAGCAUGUGGUUUAAUUCGAUGCAACGCGAAGAACCUUACCAGGGCUUGACAUACUACAGAUCUUUUUGAGAAAGAAGAGUGCCUUCGGGAAUGUAGAUACAGGUGGUGCAUGGCUGUCGUCAGCUCGUGUCGUGAGAUGUUGGGUUAAGUCCCGCAACGAGCGCAACCCUUAUUUUUAGUUACCAAUUCGUUGGGUUCUCUAGAAAGACUGCCGGUGACAAACCGGAGGAAGGUGAGGAUGACGUCAAGUCAGCAUGCCCCUUAUGUCCUGGGCUACACACGUGCUACAAUGGCGGAGACAAAGAGUCGCGAGCUCGCGAGAGUCAGCUAAUCUCAUAAACUUCGCCUAAGUUCAGAUUGCAG